UACGAAGGGUGCAAGCGUUAAUCGGAAUUACUGGGCGUAAAGGGUGCGUAGGCGGUUCGUUAAGUCUGUCGUGAAAUCCCCGGGUUCAACCUGGGAAUGGCGAUGGAUACUGGCGAGCUAGAGUGUGUCAGAGGAUGGUGGAAUUCCCGGUGUAACGGUGAAAUGCGUAGAGAUCGGGAGGAACAUCAGUGGCGAAGGCGGCCAUCUGGGACAACACUGACGCUGAAGCACGAAAGCGUGGGGAGCAAACAGG
rnacentral:rRNA from 1 species